CAAUAGCGUAUAUUUAAGUUGUUGCAGUUAAAAAGUUCGUAGUUGGAUUUCGGGUGGGACGCAGCGGUCUCGCAUUGCGUUUGUACUGCUGCAGCCCUCCUUCUUGCCGGGGGCGGCCUCUCGGACUUCACUGUCUGGGGGUCAGAAUCGGCGAUGUUACUUUGAGUAAAUUAGAGUGUUCAAAGCAAGCUUACGCUCUGAAUAUAAUAGCAUGGGAUAACACGACAGGACUCUGGCCUAUCGUGUUGGUCUAUAGGACCAGAGUAAUGAUUAAGAGGGACAGUCGGGGGCAUUCGUAUUCCGUUGUCAGAGGUGAAAUUCUUGGAUUUACGGAAGACGAACAUCUGCGAAAGCAUUUGCCAAGGAUGUUUUCAUUG
rnacentral:rRNA from 1 species